CUGACCGAAAUUUUAAUAUUGCUGUACCAGUUAGUUUGGAAUUUCUCUUGAUUGAUUACAAAUAUUCGGCAAAAUUCAUGGGCCUUGGACCUCAAGGUACAAUUAACGCCAGAAUAACAGGCAUUGAUUUUCUCUUAAACUUGGGACUGAACUCAGAAACUAAUGAUUUCACACUGAACAGUAUCGACAUUCAAAACACAGG